AGAGUUUGAUCCUGGCUCAGGAUGAACGCUAGCGGCAGGCUUAAUACAUGCAAGUCGAGGGGCAGCACAGGUAGCAAUACUGGGUGGCGACCGGCAAACGGGUGCGGAACACGUACGCAACCUUCCUUUAAGCGGGGGAUAGCCCAGGGAAACUUGGAUUAAUACCCCAUAGAACGUUAGGGUGGCAUCACCUAGACGUU
rnacentral:rRNA from 1 species